AUAGUGAAAUAAAUAUUUUAUUAACAAAAAUUACUUUACUAAAUAUAACAUUUUUAAGAAAGACUGAAUUCAAAAUAUUUGAUUCGCCAUUCGACCUUCCACGUGCCUCCGACCUUUAAAACCUGAAAAUGUUAAAUAUGGGAUGAGUAUACAGGGUACACUCAGUGUGGGAAACAUGCAAUCAUUGUCCACGUUAAUAAAAUGAGAAUCACAUAUGAUCAAUACAUUCGUAACUGAAAGUCGCACUGUGGCAUACCAAGGACCUUUCCGUCCUGGACCGAUUGAGCCGGCCCCUGGCGACUGGUUGCAACCAUAACUUUAACAUGAAAUCGCAUUGUGGCAUACCAAGGACGGUGAAGUCCUGGACCCAUUGAGCGGGCCCCUAGCGAUAUAAUUUAAUGCAACUCACAUAUGGUAAACACAUGAUAUUAAAAUGGACAAGAAUUAACCACGGGCAUGUACUGAAAUAAAUCCCACACCUGAAACUUUGAACUUGAACUUCAACUUGAACUUGAAAGCUAACUUGAGUAAAUCAAUUAAAAGUAACGUCCUAGUCGCGCCGCACCUAGUCAGAUGAAUUCAAAUAAUAAUACAUAAGGGCCUAAUUGAACUUUAAAAUAAUAAUAGUAGUAGUUUAAAUCAUAAAAUCAUUUGAAAUCAUUGGUCUAAUAAAUUAUAAAAGAACUUUUAUAAAAAGAUUUGACCCCAAUAUUUAAUUAAAACUAAAUUUGAAUUAAUAAUUCAAGUCCAAAUAUAAUAUGAAUGAUGUCCUUUAUAAAAUGAUAUGCAAAUGCAAGUCCAUUUGAUAAAAUAAAUUAGUGCAAUAGCUAAUCAAAUUAUAGCCCAAUCAUUUAAUAAAUUGAACCCAUUAACUAUCAACCAUCCUAGGCCCAAGCCCAUACUUCCCUUCCCACUUAAUUUAAUCAUACCCACACAACUCCAAAACACCACUUCACGCAGCCUCCUCACUCCCACUCUCUCAACCGACCACCCCCCAUCCUUCUCCUCCUCUUCUUGGCCCCCUGCCGCUGCCACCAGACGGCACGCCGCCGCCGGAGGCCGGCGGCUCUGCCUCCUUUCUCUUCCCCCUUUUUCCUAUCUCCUUCUCACCCCUCACUUCUCGCUCUCCUCCCUCAUCUUUCUUCCUCCUCCCUUGCCACCGUCUCGGCCGCACCAGCUACGGCCGUUCCUUUCUCCGGCGGUGACCUUCGCCGCCCGCCAGCGUUACCACCCUAUCCAUGCCUCCCACCUCUCAUCUCCUUCUCGCCGACAACAGCCACGGCAAUAGCAGCAGCUGAUCGGCCCGCCACCUCCCUUUUCAGAUCCGGCGCCACCACUGCCCCUGUCUCUCUCUCUCUCCGCCCUUGCCGCCCCUCGACAGACAGCAGCAGCCGGUCAGGCUGCUUCCCCCCUUUCACCUCUCCGGCGACAACAAUCUUCACCAACAAUUCUUCCAUUCAUUUCCUUUUCUUUUCUUCUAAUUCCUUACUAUUAUUCUUUUAAUUCUUCCCUUUUCUUUUGAUUUUUCAUGUAAAAUUGUUGGAUUAGUGCAUGAGAAAUAAAAUGAUUAUGCUUGGUUGGGCUUCUGUAUAAAGUAGAUGAGAACAAGAUAUAAGAUGAUUGUUUAUUGUGAUGAAAUAAAAGAAUGAAGGUUUCAACGACAUAAAGAAAUUACCGUUUANCGUCCUGGACCGAUUGAGCCGGCCCCUGGCGACUGGUUGCAACCAUAACUUUAACAUGAAAUCGCAUUGUGGCAUACCAAGGACUUUAAUGUCCUGGACCCAUUGAGCGGGCCCCUAGCGAUAUAAUUUAAUGCAACUCACAUAUGGUAAACACAUGAUAUUAAAAUGAACAAGAUUAACCACAGCAUGUACUGAAAUAAAUCCCACACCUGAAUUUUGAACUUGAACUUGAACUUGAAAGUUAAUUCUGAUAAUUCAAAUUAAAAUCCAUGUCCUAGUCGCGCCGCACCUAGUCAGAUAAAUUCAAAUAAUAAACAUAAGGGCCUAAUUGAACUUUAAAAAUAAUAAUAAUAAUAGUACUAGUUAAAUCAUAAAACCUUCAAAAUCAUUGGUCUAAUAAAUAAUAAAAGCACUCUUAUAAAAAUCUGACUCAAGAUUUAAUAAAAUAAAGUCCAAUUAAUAAUGAAAAUCAAAAAAUAAUACAAAUAUGACCUUUAUAAAAUAAUAUGCAAAUGCAAGACCAUUUGAUAAAUAAAUUAGUGCAAUAAUUAAUCAAAUUAUAGCCCAAUCAGUUAAUAAAUUGAGCCCAUUUAAAAAUAAACUAUCCUAGGCCCAAGCCCAAGUCCACUCUUCCAACUCCCCUAAUUUACACACACCCACACCCUAAUUGCUCACAAAACUCACGCAGCCCCCACUUCCCUUUUCUCUCUCUCCCCUCUCUCCCCGGUCUCCCCCUGCCGCCGCCGCCGGACGUCAGCCAGUCGCCGGAGGCCGGCGGCUCUGGCCUCCUUUCUCUUCCCCCUUCUUCCUAUCUCCCUCUCACCCCUCACUUCUCGCUCUCCUCCCUCAUCUUUCUUCCUCCUCCCUUGCCACCGUCUCGGCCGCACCAGCUACGGCCGUUCCUUUCUCCGGCGGUGACCUUCGCCGCCCGCCAGCGUUACCACCCUAUCCAUGCCUCCCACCUCUCAUCUCCUUCUCGCCGACAACAGCCACGGCAAUAGCAGCAGCUGAUCGGCCCGCCACCUCCCUUUUCAGAUCCGGCGCCACCACUGCCCCUGUCUCUCUCUCUCCGCCCUUGCCGCCCCUCGACAGACAGCAGCAGCCGGUCAGGCUGCCUCCCCCCUUUCACCUCUCCGGCAACAACAAUCUUCACCAACAAUUCUUCUACUCCUUUCUUUUCUUUUCUUCUAAUCCCUUACUAUUAUUCUUUUAAUUCCUUCCUUUUCUUUUGAUUAUGCAUAUGCUAUGUAAUGGUUUUUCAAAAGAAACAUUUUUUUCUAAAUAAAACAAGAAAUUGUGAGAGUUUUGGCAAUAUAUAUAUGGUGUCUGCAUAGGCGAAAAUUGAAGAAAAUAGCCAUGAUGAAUUAAAAGGAACUUUUGUUUGUUUUUGAAAAUAAUAAGUUUACCUUUCGAUGCCUGCACUGGAAAGAACAAAUGGAAAUCAAGGAAAAAGAUGAGAAUCAAAGUUUGCUACGUUUUUAUCAAUUUUCUUUCG
rnacentral:lncRNA from 1 species